GCCCGGAAAUGAAUGCUAGGUGGUAGGGGUUUCGAUACCCUUGGUGGCGAAGUUAACACAUUAAGCAGUCCGCCUGGGGAGUACGGGCGCCAGAGUGAAACUCAAAGGAAUUGACGGGGACCCGCACAAGCAGUGGAAUAUGUGGUUUAAUUCCAAUCCACGCGAAAAACCUUACCAGGUCUUGACAUCCCUCUGACCGUCCUAGAGAUAGGGCUUCCCUUCGGGGCACAGGUGACAGGUGGUGCAUGGUUGUCGUCAGCUCGUGUCGUGAGAUGUUGGGUUAAGUCCCGCAACGAGCGCAACCCUUAACUUUAUUUGCCAGCAUUGAGUUGGGCACUCUAUAGUGACUGCCGGUGACCAACCGGAGGAAGGUGGGGAUGACGUCCAAUCAUCACUGCCCCUUAUGACCUGGGCUACACACGUACUACAAUGGCUGGUACAACGGGAAGCGAAUCCGCGAGGUGGAACGAAUCCUAAAAAGCCAGUCUCAGUUCCGAAUGGAGGCUGCAACUCGCCUGCCUGAAGUCCGAAUUGCUAUUAAUCGCGGAUCACCAUGCCGCGGUGAAUACGUUCCCGGGUCUUGUACACACCGCCCGUCACACCACGAGAGUUUACAACACCCGAAGUCGGUGGGGUAACCGCAAGGAGCCAGCCGCCGAACGUGGGGUAGAUGAUUGGGGUGAAGUAUAAGAGGAGCGGGCCAAAAAAAAAAAGCCCCCCCCGAACCAAAA
rnacentral:rRNA from 1 species